rnacentral:tRNA from 2 species
CACUGUAGAGCUAACAUAGCAUUAACCUUUUAAGUUAAAGACUGAGAGGACCCCCUCUCUGCAGUGA